rnacentral:rRNA from 1 species
ACUCCUACGGGAGGCAGCAGUGGGAAUAUUGCACAAUGGGCGCAAGCCUGAUGCAGCCAUGCCGCGUGUAUGAAGAAGGCCUUCGGGUUGUAAAGUACUUUCAGCAGUGAGGAAGGUGGAGUCGUUAAUAGCGGCCUCAUUGACGUUUAGCUGCAGAAGAAGCACCGGCUAACUCCGUGCCAGCAGCCGCGGUAAUACGGAGGGUGCGAGCGUUAAUCGGAAUUACUGGGCGUAAAGCGCAUGCAGGUGGUUUGUUAAGUCAGAUGUGAAAGCCCGGGGCUCAACCUCGGAAU